rnacentral:rRNA from 1 species
AGAGUUUGAUCCUGGCUCAGGACGAACGCUGGCGGCGUGCCUAACACAUGCAAGUGGAGCGACGAACCGGGCUUCGGCCCGGGGCAAAGCCGCGAACGGGUGAGUAACACGUGGGUAACGUGCCCCGAUGAUUGGGACAACCCGAGGAAACUCGGGCUAAUACCAAAUGUGCCCUCCAGCCAUAAGGCUGCUGGGGAAAGGAAGCUUCGGCCUCCGCAUCGGGAUCGGCCCGCGGCGCAUUAGCUUGUUGGUGAGGUAACGGCUCACCAAGGCGACGAUGCGUAGCUGGUCUGAGAGGACGAUCAGCCACACUGGGACUGAGACACGGCCCAGACUCCUACGGGAGGCAGCAGUGGGGAAUCUUGCGCAAUGCGCGAAAGCGUGACGCAGCAACGCCGCGUGGGUGAAGACGGCCUUCGGGUUGUAAAGCCCUUUCAGUUGGGACGAAGCUUCGUCGGUGAAUAGCCGGCCGGAGUGACGGUACCUUCAGAAGAAGCCCCGGCUAACUACGUGCCAGCAGCCGCGGUAAUACGUAGGGGGCAAGCGUUGUCCGGAAUCAUUGGGCGUAAAGCGCGUGUAGGCGGCUCGAUAAGUCUGCUGUGAAAGUUCAGGGCUCAACCCUGAAAUGCCGGUGGAAACUGUCGAGCUAGAGUCCGGAAGAGGCGAGUGGAAUUCCUGGUGUAGCGGUGAAAUGCGCAGAUAUCAGGAGGAACACCAAUGGCGAAGGCAGCUCGCUGGGACGGUACUGACGCUGAGACGCGAAAGCGUGGGGAGCAAACAGGAUUAGAUACCCCCGUAGUCC